UACGUAUGGGGCAAGCGUUAUCCGGAUUUACUGGGUGUAAAGGGAGCGUAGGCGGCGGGGCAAGCCUGAUGUGAAAGCCCGGGGCUCAACCCCGGGACUGCAUUGGGAACUGCCCUGCUGGAGUGCCGGAGGGGCAGGCGGAAUUCCUAGUGUAGCGGUGAAAUGCGUAGAUAUUAGGAGGAACACCAGUGGCGAAGGCGGCCUGCUGGGCUUUUACUGACGCUGAGGCUCGAAAGUGUGGGGAGCAAACAGG
rnacentral:rRNA from 1 species